GAAAUGCGAUAAGUAAUGUGAAUUGCGGAAUUCAGUGAAUCAUCGAAUCUUUGAACGCACCUUGCGCUCCUUGGUAUUCCUUGGAGCAUGCCUGUUUGAGUAUCAUGAAAUCUUCAAAGUAAAUCUUUUGUUAACUCAAUUGGUUUCUACUUUGGUAUUGGAGGUCUUUGCAGCUUCACACCUGCUCCUCUUUGUUCAUUAGCUGGAUCUCAGUGUUAUGCUUGGUUCCACUCGGCGUGAUAAGUUAUCUAUCGCUGAGGACACUGUAAAAGGUGGCCAAGGUAAAUGCAGAUGAACCGCUUCUAAUAGUCCAUUGACUUGGACAAUACUUUUAUGAUCUGAUCUCAAAUCAGGUAGGACUACCCGCUGAACUUAAAC
rnacentral:misc_RNA from 1 species